UAUAAAAGGUGUGAGAAGGAACUUUAAGU
rnacentral:piRNA from 1 species